UACGUAGGGUGCGAGCGUUGUCCGGAUUUAUUGGGCGUAAAGAGCUCGUAGGCGGUUUGUCGCGUCGGCCGUGAAAUCUCCCCGCUUAACGUGGAGCGUGCGGUCGAUACGGGCAGACUUGAGUUCGGUAGGGGAGACUGGAAUUCCUGGUGUAGCGGUGAAAUGCGCAGAUAUCAGGAGGAACACCGGUGGCGAAGGCGGGUCUCUGGGCCGAUACUGACGCUGAGGAGCGAAAGCGUGGGGAGCGAACAGG
rnacentral:rRNA from 1 species